GCUCCCAUGAGGCCCAGGGGCAAGAGGUGGGGCCGUCUGGGGAUUUGUCCUUCCUUCUGACCCCAGUGGCUGCCCUCUCCCUCUCUCGGACUAAUGUCCAGCACAGCCCUGCUGAGUGUUCUCCGGAGCAGCCCCGUCCCUCUGUGGGCCUGCCCGUCUAUCAGGCAGUCCUCCGGGAAGCACUGUUUCUCUCCUUUCUUGCUCCUAACCUGUUGGCUUCUGGGCGCGGUGGCAGGGCCCUGGUGGGAGGUGGGGCCACUGGUGAUCCAAGGCAGGUAGGCACUGAGACAGAGUCUCUCCCCCACAGUCCCUGAUUGUCCCUGGAAAGAGUCCCACAAGGAAGAAGUCUGGUCCAUUUGGCUCACGCCGCAGCAGCGCCAUUGGCAUCGAGAACAUCCAGGAGGUGCAGGAGAAGAGGGAGAGCCCUCCAGCUGGCCAGAAGACCCCAGACAGCGGGCAUGUCUCUCAGGAGCCCAAGUCGGAGAACUCAUCUACUCAGAGCUCCCCAGAGAUGCCCACGACCAAGAACAG
rnacentral:lncRNA from 1 species